UACGUAGGGUGCGAGCGUUGUCCGGAAUUAUUGGGCGUAAAGAGCUCGUAGGCGGUUUGUCGCGUCGGAUGUGAAAGCCCGGGGCUUAACCCCGGGUCUGCAUUCGAUACGGGCAGACUAGAGUUCGGUAGGGGAGAUCGGAAUUCCUGGUGUAGCGGUGGAAUGCGCAGAUAUCAGGAAGAACACCGGUGGCGAAGGCGGCUCUCUGGGCCUUACCUGACGCUGAGGAGCGAAAGCGUGGGUAGCGAACAGG
rnacentral:rRNA from 1 species